GACGAACGCUGGCGGCGUGCUUAACACAUGCAAGUCGAACGGAAAGGCCCUGCUUGCAGGGUACUCGAGUGGCGAACGGGUGAGUAACACGUGGGUGAUCUGCCCUGCACUUCGGGAUAAGCCUGGGAAACUGGGUCUAAUACCGGAUAGGAGCCAUUUUUAGUGUGAUGGUUGGAAAGUUUUUUCGGUGUAGGAUGAGCUCGCGGCCUAUCAGCUUGUUGGUGGGGUAAUGGCCUACCAAGGCGGCGACGGGUAGCCGGCCUGAGAGGGUGGACGGCCACAUUGGGACUUGGAUACGGCCCAGAAUCCUACGGGAGGAAGCAGUGGGGAAUAUUGCACAAUGGGCGCAAGCCUGAUGCAGCGACGCCGCGGGGGGGAUGACGGCCUUCGGGUUGUAAACUCCUUUCGCUAGGGAUGAAGCUUUUUGUGACGGUACCUAGAUAAGAAGCACCGGCUAACUACGUG
rnacentral:rRNA from 1 species